GAGUUUGAUCCUGGCUCAGGAUGAACGCUAGCGGCAGGCUUAACACAUGCAAGUCGAGGGGUAUAAGUAGCUUGCUACUUAGAGACCGGCAAACGGGUGCGGAACACGUACGCAAUCUGCCCCUAUCUUGGAGAUAGCCCAUAGAAAUGUGGAUUAAUACCCAAUAGUAUAAUUGGAUGGCAUCAUUUGAUUAUUAAAGAAAUUCGGAUAGGGAUGAGCGUGCGUAAGAUUAGCUAGUUGGUGAGGUAACGGCUCACCAAGGCCACGAUCUUUAGCUGAUGUGAGAGCAUGAUCAGCCACACGGGCACUGAGACACGGGCCCGACUCCUACGGGAGGCAGCAGUGAGGAAUAUUGGUCAAUGGACGGAAGUCUGAACCAGCCAUGCCGCGUGAAGGAUGAAGGCGUUCUGCGUUGUAAACUUCUUUUAUCAGGGAAGAAACCUAUUUUUUCUAAGAUAGUUGACGGU
rnacentral:rRNA from 1 species